rnacentral:lncRNA from 1 species
AUCCAUGGAAAUUCUGUUCAGAAUAGAAAGAGGAAUGAUCAUAUCAGAGCUCCUUUUUCAAUUUGGCUAUUCUUUUUUUAAGUUUUAACCGACUAUAGGUGCAUUCACUGGCAAUUCAUUUUUAACCAAGUCCAAAGGUUCUUUCUUCACUUGCAAUUCGAUUUUAACCGAGUCCAAAGGUGCUUUCACUGGCAAUUCAUUUUUAACCCAGUCCAGAUAACCUCCUCCCAUGUUGCUCACAUCCUUAAAUCCCUGUUCAUUAAUAUUAAAUUAAUACAAGUUGGUCUUUUGAUCAAUUGGAUGGCACAAACACAAAGCAAACAGAAGGAAGGAAGAAAAAAAUAGCAUGUAUUUCUAUAAUUUGGAAAUUUUUUUAUAUGUAGAAAUUAACCUAAAUUAAUUUAU